rnacentral:lncRNA from 1 species
GCAUAGUAUCAACCUAAUCGGGGAUCACUAUCAUUUUAGCCGUAUAUUUUUUGCAUCCAAUAACUGAAAACCCAAUAGCACCAAUAACUUUGUGCUAUUAAUAGUAUAUAUAUAUUCCAACCAAGUUCUAUAUAGAGUCCGCGUGGGAUAUUAUCGAUACCACCAAGCACUUGGUGCUACCAAAGUUUCCGCCAUUAGAUUUAUCCCUUUCAUCAUUUCUAAUCGUUAGAUAAUAUUAGAAUAUAGUAGGGCUAUUAUAUUCUUAUAAAUAUAAAAUCCUUUGCACUCAUAAGUUGUUUUUAUUUAUAGAGCUUCCAAAUCGAUGAUCUAUACCGUUAAAUAUGAUUUACAGUAUUCGAAACUUCUAAAGAAUAAAUUUCGUAAUUUCGAAAUUAUAACAAAAGCCCAACAAACGGUUAUAAAAUGAAUGGUCAAAAUUGAACGACAUCCUAAAUAUGGAUAAUCGGAUUUUUUAAUUUAAGAUUAGAGUUAUUGAUUUUUAUCUAGAUAGUAAAUAAUAUUUUCUAUCAAAAAUUCAACUAAUUUUGAUUUUUUUACACUGUUAAACUAGCAAUUAUUUUAUACCGAUCAUUAAAAGUUUUCAAUUUUGAGUUUUUUGAUUGCAAGGUAAAAUAUGAUGAAAGAUUGUAAAAUUGGAUUUCUAAAUAUUUCAAAUUCUUUGAAUCAUGUUUAACAGUAUGGAUCGUCGAUUUGAAAAUUUUAUUAUCGAAAACGACUUAUGAGUACGAUUCGAAAAUGUAAUGCCGCAACUUCCCAGGGGGUCACCCAUCCUAGGACUACUCCCGUCCUAGCACGCUAAACUCUCUUAACCUCUUGGGUCUUGUCACCACCCAAAAUGCUUAAGCCGGGUUAAGAGUUUAGCCCUAUUAUAUCUCAUAUAUAGGACUAUCUGGGGUCUCACAAUCUCCCCUCCUUUAAGCCCUGACGUCCUCGUCAGGCUCAGACUCACAAGUACCAGGCGAUGUGAGACUCGUCUCGCUAGCCCGUCAUCCAGACCCUGGCUCAGCCGAGACUCAUCUCACACUUCCGGCUGGUAAUUGGCUCUGAUACCAUCUGUGACGCCCCAACUUCCCAGGGGGUCACCCAUCCUAGGACUACUCCCGUCCUAGCACGCUUAACUCUCUUAACCUCUUGGGUCUUGUCACCACCCAAAAUGCUUAAGCCGGGUUAAGAGUUUAGCCCUAUUAUAUCUCAUAUAUAGGACU